rnacentral:rRNA from 1 species
CCUACGGGAGGCAGCAGUGAGGAAUAUUGGUCAAUGGACGCAAGUCUGAACCAGCCAUGCCGCGUGCAGGAAGACGGCUCUAUGAGUUGUAAACUGCUUUUGUACGAGGGUAAACGCAGAUACGCGUAUCUGUCUGAAAGUAUCGUACGAAUAAGGAUCGGCUAACUCCGUGCCAGCAGCCGCGGUAAUACGGAGGAUUCAAGCGUUAUCCGGAUUUAUUGGGUUUAAAGGGUGCGUAGGCGGUCGGAUAAGUUAGAGGUGAAAUCCCGAGGCUCAACUUCGGAAUUGCCGCUGAUACUGUUCGGCUAGAGAGUAGUUGAGGUAGGCGGAAUGUAUGGUGUAGCGGUGAAAUGCUUAGAGAUCAUACAGAACACCGAUUGCGAAGGCAGCAUACCAAGCUACUACUGACGUUGAGGCACGAAAGCGUGGGGAGCAAACAGGAUUAGAUACCCCAGUAGUC